rnacentral:rRNA from 1 species
UACGUAGGGGGCUAGCGUUGUCCGGAAUCAUUGGGCGUAAAGCGCGCGUAGGCGGCCAGAUAAGUCCGGUGUGAAAGUCACAGGCUCAACCUGUGAAUGCCGCUGGAAACUGUCUGGCUUGAGUCCGGAAGGGGCGAGUGGAAUUCCUGGUGUAGCGGUGAAAUGCGCAGAUAUCGGGAAGAACACCCGUGGCGAAGGCGGUUCUCUGGGACGGUACUGACGCUGAGACGCGAAAGCGUGGGGAGCGAACAGG